UAGGGAAUUUUGCGCAAUGGGCGAAAGCCUGACGCAGCAACGCCGCGUGAGUGAUGAAGCCCUUUGGGGUGUAAAACUCUGUCAGUGGGGACGAAUUUUGACGGUACCCACAGAGGAAGCAUCGGCUAACUACGUGCCAGCAGCCGCGGUAAGCCGUAGGAUGCAAGCGUUGUCCGGAAUUAUUGGGCGUAAAGAGUUCGUAGGUGGUAUGUCAAGUCUGGUGUUAAAUACCGAAGCUCAACUUCGGAUCGGCACUGGAUACUGACAAACUAGAGUGCAGUAGAGGCAAGGGGAAUGCCCAGUGUAGCGGUGAAAUGCGUAGAUAUUGGGAGGAACACCGGUGGCGUAAGCGCCUUGCUGGGCUGUAACUGACGCUGAGGAACGAAAGCAAGGGGAGCAAAUG
rnacentral:rRNA from 1 species